rnacentral:rRNA from 1 species
GUGUCAGCAGCCGCGGUAAUACGGAGGAUCCGAGCGUUAUCCGGAUUUAUUGGGUUUAAAGGGUGGUCAGGUGGUUUAUUAAGUCGGGGGUGAAAUUCAGCGGCUCAACCGUUGGUUGUCCUUCGAUACUGGUAAACUUGAAUGUAGUUGAAGAAGGCGGAAUGUGGCAAGUAGCGGUGAAAUGCAUAGAUAUGCCACAGAACACCUAUUGCGAAGGCAGUUUUCUAAACUAUUAUUGACACUGAACCACGAAAGCGUGGGUAUCGAACAGGAUUAGAUACCCUGGUAGUCCACGCUGUAAACGAUGAUAACUCGAUGUCGGCGAUAUACUGUCGGUGUCUUAGCGAAAGCGUUAAGUUAUCCACCUGGGGAGUACGUCCGCAAGGAUGAA